rnacentral:lncRNA from 1 species
GGUCGGCCUGGGGAGGGGAGGGCCCGGGACUCACCCCGGGGUGGGCACACUAGGGGAGCUCUAGGGGAGGCCCACCUGGGGUAGGCCCACCUGGGAGAGGACCCCCUGGGAGAGGCCCACCCACGAGAGUCCCACGUGGGAGAGUGGAAUUCCACCCGGGAGAGGCCCACCUGGGAGAGGACCCCCUGAGAGAGGACCGCCUGGGAGAGGCCCACCUGGGAGAGUGGAAUUCCACCCGGGAGAGGCCCACCUGGGAGAGGACCCCCUGAGAGAGGACCGCCUGGGAGAGGCCCACCUGGGAGAGUGGAAUUCCACCCAGGAGAGGCCCACCUGGGAGAGAACCCCCUGAGAGAGGACCGCCUGGGAGAGGCCCACCUGGGAGAGUGGAAUUCCACCCGGGAGAGGCCACCAUACCUACAUGGGAUCAAAUAAGCUGCCUGGACAUAGUUUUGAAACCUGAACGUCGUAUGUUUCUCAGGCUCCUAGAGCCCCACCCCGUCUUGAAGUUGGCAGCCUCAGAUCCCUGCUAAAUGACCAUAUUCCUUCCCAAAGACAGUUCUCAGAUGGGCCUUUGUUGGUAAAGACACUCCACACAUGGGUACAGCCUCGAUAAAAUAUUUAUCCCCUCAGAGAAAGUAUAUCCAAACAUAAUGUAGUAAGAGAUUUCCCAAAUCCAAGGGCAUUAAAUAUUAAAACUCAGUUUUCUAGUUACACAUUAGCCUUAAAUAUCAAGAGUGCAACACAAAAUUAUCACAGAACGCAGGAAAAGGAGAUGAGAAAGGCCGCAGAUGGGCAGCCAGGUGGGCCGGGGCACAGGGCAGGGUCGGAAAGGGUCCCCAGCCCAGGAGCUUCUGUGUCCGUGGAGUGGGGGGCACCACCCUCCUGGCCCGUGGAUGUGUUCAGCAACCUGGAACUGCUCGGGACCCAUAGUCCAGGCAUUCUUAUGGAGGCUCCAUCGCAGACAUGAAGGAUGAUGGUGGAUGAUCCCUGGAGGAGGGUGGGUGCAGGGUUGAGAGCUGCAGGUGCUAAUCCUGGCUGGUCUCUCUGGUGACUGGACCCCCUCCAGGAGCCACCAAGCCUCACCUCAUUUGAAUGGAAGAAUCUGCUGCCAUCACCCAGGAAAUUCGAGGGCUUUUGGAGCCCUGUGCGGGGUCUCGGGAGCAGAGACCAGAUCUAUUCAUUUCUCAUUUCAUCACCCCAUCUUGCCAGGUAGAGACGGUGUCUGUGUCUGGGCUCCCAGGCUGGACCCCAGAGGCCUGCUGUAUAUGCGCCCGCUGGCGUUGCCAUCACGGGGCACUCUCAUGGGCGGCUUAAACAGCGGGAAAGGAGGCGGGAAGGCCGAGAACAAGGUGAAAGCCAGGAAGAUGGGUGAAUUGUUGUUUAAAACAUCUCAGAAUAUAUACAUGAGCAGAAUGAGCAGAACAGAAGUUAAAGAUAGAGCUUCUUCCAGCGCAGAAAUGGCAGUUGCAUCAUACCUGUUUAGCAUCAUGGCUUCCAGCUAACUACCCAUCCAUUCACUGGAAGAUAUUUUUGAAGCCUUGCUGUGUCAUUAGAGCAGAGCCUCGUUCUGAACUCCUGGUCCAGCAGGCCCUGCUGCAGAGGCUGCUGCAGCUCAUGGCACACUUGGACAGCGGCAGCACUCUCUUCUCUGAGGCCUCUCUCUUCAACGUUUUGUAAGACUGUAUUUGCAUGUUUAUUUUUAUGUAAAUGCUGAAACAUCUGGUCUAGUUUAAAAAAUAAACACAAAACACAGCCAAAAGCACACUGUUGGCAUUUUCUCCGGUACAGGUUGAUUUAAAGAGAACUGCCGUAAGACCGUGUGUCUUCUGAUCCAGCCGCAGUGGGCUUUCUCACUCGCUUGCCUUCGGUGUGCAUCUGCUUGCUAAUACUAAGAAUUUGUGCCUCGAUAUUGAUAAGGAAGGUGAUUCUGUGAUAUUUUCAAACAAACAAUGUGGAAGCUUGAUCUUUCCUUCUGUGCUCCUGAACUGGUUCAUAGCAUUGUAAUUACAUGUUCCUUAAGGUUUGCGAGAACUUGUAAGGUGGACUUUUCUUUCUCAUUUGGAGCAAGUGUGUAUAUGUAUGUGUGUGUGUGGGUACG